UAGGGAAUCUUCGGCAAUGGGGGGAACCCUGACCGAGCAACGCCGCGUGAGUGAAGAAGGUUUUCGGAUCGUAAAGCUCUGUUGUUAAGGAAGAACGAGUGUGAGAAUGGAAAGUUCAUGCUGUGACGGUACUUAACCAGAAAGGGACGGCUAACUACGUGCCAGCAGCCGCGGUAAUACGUAGGUCCCGAGCGUUGUCCGGAUUUAUUGGGCGUAAAGCGAGCGCAGGCGGUUAGAAAAGUCUGAAGUGAAAGGCAGUGGCUCAACCAUUGUAGGCUUUGGAAACUGUUUAACUUGAGUGCAGAAGGGGAGAGUGGAAUUCCAUGUGUAGCGGUGAAAUGCGUAGAUAUAUGGAGGAACACCGGUGGCGAAAGCGGCUCUCUGGUCUGUAACUGACGCUGAGGGUCGAAAGCGUGGGGAGCGAACAGG
rnacentral:rRNA from 1 species